rnacentral:lncRNA from 1 species
GGGUGGCAGGUUCAUUAGCCAACCCCGCGCCUGUCCUUUUAGGGCCAUGGGAAAGAAGUUCGCCAUGACCCUGUCGUCACCCCCAGCGGCCUCGAUCCCGGUCGUAUAGACCUGGAGAAACUCGGUGGGGUUGACGCUCCCAUCGUACUUCUCGGUGAUGGCGGGCCGGAACCUUGGGGGCCAACGGACAUUCCGAAGACUCGCCACAAAGGCUCUACAGCCAACACCACCAGCCGGAGGCACGGAGGGCUGGUCCUCACGUCCAUGUCGAGGUGACACUCUGGACGAGGAGGCACCCUCCGUUGCACAGGGGGUACGCCGGCUAUUACGCCGGCGCUCGAUGUUGAGGCGGGCAUCCGGCUCCCCAUGCUGAUCCUCCCGAGUCGAAGGCGUCGACGAGGGAGUAGCAGCCGAAUGACGUGCAGCCGCCGCCGCUCGCCGCGCCCUCCGCCUUGACGACAUGGAGCCGGUGGUAGCGGCGCCGGAGGUCUUGGUGGUGGCGGACCGUCCACCAGCACCCAAGCGCUGCUGAGCCGUCAUGACCAAGUUGGCCACGUCUUCCAGCCAUCGUUGGGCUGGAGACUCCGGGUCAUGGACGACAGGCGGGUGUCGUAGGAGCGCGCCAGCAGCCUGAAGCGCGCCCUGAGGCGUGCUGCCGUCGCCGUAGACGAGGAGGCGACGCUCCCCAUCUCGCCGUUCUCCUGCAUCACCUGCGGCUGGUGACGCCGCGGAUUUGUCGACCCUCUCAAGCGCCUCCCCCUGCUUAGGACUUUGGCGCGGAGGAGGUGGAGGAGUACGAGCUCGACGGCGUGGAUUCGGCUCCCCGUCGUCGCCGCUCACACUCGGCGAGAUGUCGUGCGUUUUUCCUUGCUCGGCCAUUAGGCUGAACAAGAAAAACUUGGGGCACACGGAAGAGUCUGAGAGCUCAGAAAGCACACGCUGAGACCCCUACCUGGCGCGCCAGAUGACGGAGCUCGUGGCUCCUCACCGGGAGACCGCGCAGGCCCCCCUUUGCCGGUUCGGCCGGGGGCUUAGGGUGAGAUCUCAAGCUCUCGCUGUGUGUGGAAAGAUCGCGUGCCAGGAAGAAACACGAGACACGGACGAUGUAUACAGGUUCGGGCCGCUGGGAAGCGUAAUACCCUACUCCUGUGUUUUUGUGGAUUGGUGUAUGAAUGAGCUACAAAGUGUCAGCCAACUUCUCCCCCGUUCUAAGCUCUAAAUCUGGAAAAGAAUCCACCAACCCUUUCUCUAUGGGCAAGGUCCUCCUUUUAUACUUCAAGGGGAUACCACAUGCACCCUUCCCUUUCCAAACUGGACUGUUCUUCUUCUCUUUAAUGGGCGGAGAUUGGUAUGGUUGUCGUCCAAAUGACACUUCGAUGGGACAGCUCACACCUACCUCCACUCCCGGCGGAGACGGGCGCAACGUGAGAUCGUGGCUGCCCGUUGCUGAUGCGACCAGUGUCAGACCGGUCAUUCUUGUCCACCACGCGUCAGUUUAACAACGUGCAUGUUUGCCCUUCUUCGUGUAACACCUUGCCUGUAAUGAUUAGGAUGAAGCCUGGUAUAAAUCUAACCAGGGCUAACGUGCCAUCUCUAAGAGAUAACACGCUAGCUCCGGCUUGAGACGAGUUGCCUUGAGGCUUUCGUCUUGACGGGAUGGGGCGAGGCGUGCGUCAGACCGCCAGUCGCCACCUAACCCUUGAUCUGACCGGUCUGUGACUGGUCACAGACCGGAUAAAAGAGCGUGCUGUACUGCGUUGCACGCAGCGUGACACGCUUGACCAGACUGCAAUAAAUGCUGUUAGGUGAGCACAGCUGUGCUCACUUAUCCCAUAUAUGUGGCGCAGACUUCUUUAAGGGGUCGGGGGUGCCCCGGCCCUCGGGGCCGGGGCAAGCGCAACCCGACCCCCCCUCAGGGGAAAUCACGAGGAGGGCGGACACCUCACCCUCGGGCCCGACGUCCCCGAAGGUGCCAGGCCACGUGGGCGAUUGCGUCUGCCUCAAGCCUCUGGUCAUGAUACUCCCGGUCCCAUAUCACCGACAAAGUCGAUCUCAGCCGUCCGUUCGCGUGAACCGCCGCCGUGCACCCGGUCUACCGAAACCCUAGCCGCUGACGCAAUAAUCCUCUUUUCCUUUUCAAAAAUAAUUCAUUAUUGCGCCAUAAUUCAAUUAAAAUCAAUAUAAGUAUUUUAAUCCGAUUUAAUCUUGAAAAUUCAUAACUAAUUCAUCUUAGCUCGGAUUUAGUUGGUUCAAGUCUCUAAAUUUUUCUAAAAUUGAGAUCUACAUGUUAAAAAUAUCCACAUGUACUGUUCAUGCUUGUUUAUGUGCUGUUUGGUGAUUUUGCUUCUUUCUGUUUAGAUUCCGUCGUUUCCGGAGAGUCCGUUUUCGCAGCAGAAGAGUUUGAAGAGUUCCAAGGCCAGCAAGGCAAGUCACACAGAUCCCAAACAACCCUUUGAGCAUGUUGAUCAUAUUUUAAGCUAUUGUUUCUAUUCAACUAUUGCAUUUAUUUUCGAAUGUCAUUGGGUGGAAUUAACCUAUUCUUUGUUAUAGCCCUUUUGUUCUUUAUUACUUUAUUCCUUGAUACCUUGGGUUAUUAUAAUUUGACUAGUUGAGCUUUAUUUAUAUUGGUUCAACUAGAUAUUAGAUAUAAUUGCUUAGCCCUGCUUAGAAACAUUAGCACAUUAUUGGGAUAACUUAUGACUCACUAUUACUUAAUGAUGGCUUAAUGAUAGUUCACGAUGGUCAAUCGUGAUUGGUUAAUUAAUUAAUGUGCCAACUAAAACCUGAUAAUGGUGGGUUGUGAGCACAUGGUUUUGAUGGUCGUGCUCAUGACAAUUAAGGACCGGUUCACGAGUUUCGGUUGUGAAACAUUAACCGUGCCAGCCACAAGCCAGCGUGGGCAACGGCUUUAUCUUUUGUAUAGCAUGGUUCAUUGCAGAGCACCAGACUGAGAAGUGGCGGAGAUAAGCCCACGGGGGGUCGCUGGGGAGUCCAUGCCUUGUUUAUAAGGGGGUGAUUAUGAUCCAGAAAAGGUGCGCUGUAAUGGAUUGUGUUGUGCAAGGAGUAUUGUCACAACUCCUUUCCGAGGUACCGUGGUGGUAUUGAGGCACAUGGUGACAUGAUGUGGGGUUGUGUCUUGUGGGUACAGUGGUACACCUCUGAUCAGAGUAAAACUAUUCGAAUAGCCGUGCCCGCAGUUAUGGGCGGGUCUAACAAUGUCUUUCGUGAUUAGUCUCACACUUCUCAUCUUAAUAAAAGGUGCUUUAAUUGGUAAUAAUUUGAUUUGCUCCUGGUUUGGAAUGGUACAUUCCUGGUUUGGAGAUAGAACUGUGCAGCCGGGAUGGUUGUUCAGAAUGGUUGGGCCUGUACAACAGGGUAUGUUGUGUAGCGUUGGAUUAAUAUUGUUUAAUACUUAACUGUUUUAUUAAAUUCUCAAAUGUUUGUUAAAUGCUGUUUAUGCAAAUGAAAACUCUACUAUGCCAUCCUUUGGUAUCCUUGUGCACUUGCAUAUUUGCUGCGUGACUUGCUGAGUAUGUCAUAUACUCACCUUGCAAUCAUUCAUCAGAGGAAGAGUUCUACAAUGAUGCUGCUGGUGUGGAGGAUUAGGUGUAGCCUUGGUCAAGCUACCUAUGGAGUGGAGUCAUCCGCACCGUUUAUCUUAUUUUCCGCUGCUUAGAUUUUUAUUGAUUGAGAGGAACUAUCUACCUCUGUAAUGACCUUUUAUUCGCCUAUUAAUUAGAGUAAUAAUUGUACUCUAUUAUCAAUUUGUUAUUGUGUGCCUCGGCUGAUUCCUGGACGAGGGUUCACACACAUGUAAGCGUUUGGAAUUUUGGAUAGAAAUUCCGGGCGUGACACACCACAAUGUAAUGGGUUAGCCGAUCGAGUUCAAAUAUCACGUAAGUUAUGCAAUUUGCAAGAAGCACUCACUUUAUUAUGCCACAGAACCAAUUUUGCAAUGUACUUACACAACAGUACCAAGACAAUGCCCUCUGAAUAUGCAGCUUUUUUUAAGCUAAUGAAAGUUUUAAUUGAACUCAGUUAAUUCGUCAAGUUGAUACAACUGUACUGAGAAUAGUCGUGGGUAUGAAUAAACAUGGGCAGAUGACCGUCAGUCCUCAACAUGACACAUGAUGGGUAUUAAUAACCCCCACAAUGCAUGAUCUGCCCUUCUUGUUUGCAUUUAUCAGUAGAUGCCAAACUAGCAAUCCUCUUCCAUCACCACAUGAACUAUGCAAUUGCAGUACAACCGAAGAAUUAAUCUCACAGUUACUACUAUGCUCAAACAGGCUUCUCCACUGGUCAGUUGCUAUCGCCGUUUUGGACGGAAACGUAGUUUUCCCAAGAUUCGCACGCUCAGUCACAAAUCAUAUCUAGUCCUGAUCCAUUGUGAGUUUGACACAUGAUUGUGAAAUCAUGGACAAGAGUACGGUGUUAAAGAAGUCUCUCCUGCUCUGAGAUUCUUGGGCCCAGCAAGAGUACAGUGCUGCCUUAACAAGAGCACCAGUAAAAAUUACUAAAUCACAUUUGAAUGAAUAAUGCUAAAAUCUUGCAAAUUUCUAAACUUAAAAAUCUGCUUCAUGAUUCAAAAACAUCAAAUACGUACUGAGGGAGAAAAAGAAACAUCAGUGCAACACUAACAAGUACGGUAUUCUGAGUCCUAAAUGAUUCCUCCGUGUACCUUAAAAUGGUAAUACUAAAUAUAACAUGUUUACAGAACAUAAAUAGCAAACACACACUGGAUCGCAUGAUACAGAAAUGUGUAGUUUUUUCCCUACUAAUAUAUGCUCUAUGUGUUUUUGAGUCACAUGAUUGCUACUUAAAAAAAGGGCCAUGUACAAAAUACACAAAGUAGAACACUUGUACUACAACUACGUACAGGAGCACAUAAAAACAAUGUGGACCAGUACCAUCAAACUAUACAUAUUUCAAGACAAAUUUAGUUCUAAAAAAAGAGGACAGAUUUGUAGCCAUCUGCUUAAUUAGCUCAAGUUUAUUAGGACAGACACAAUAAAUGCAAGUUAAAGAAAAUUGUAUUUCAUUCUAGGCUGAGGUGGGAAGGGCAAGUUUGCUUUAGUUCUUUUCAUGCGAUUAAUAAAUUAUUAACCAAGUAUUAAUUAGUAUAAAUUUGAAAAGAAUGAUUUAUUUGAUCUUCUUUAAAAAAUACAUAUAAUUUUCUUUUAAUGAAACACACCAUUUAGUAGUUUGGGAAGCGUGGUCACAAUGAACGAUAGAUUUUUCAUGCCGAACUCACUAACAAACUUAGCGUUUAAAGAAGCUGCUUAACGAACAAAAUGAGUUCCAAACAUAUAAAAUAAAUGAUUGACCCCGAAUAAUCUGCUCGUGUAAACAUAUUUUUUAGACGAAAACUUGAUAUAUUUGUCUUUGUAGAUAUAUUUUUACAGGCGGUUCUUUCAUGCGCCAGCACAAACUUGAUUUCUGUAUACCAUAGGCUAGAGGUGAAUCGAGAAAAAUGCCCGUGAAAAUGGGUUAUUAGCCACCUAGACAAACACAUUAUCUGUACUAGUGUCAGCGCAUUUCCUAAGUUUGUGUAUCCUGUCAUGCUAUUAUCACCGACAAAGAAUAUAUGCACAAAUAUAAUACUGAUUAUUUACAUUCCUUAGAUGUACCAAUAAGAGCUGAUUUUUAUUACUUCCUCCGUCCAAGAUUGUUGCAACCUAAGAUUGUAAUAGGAUGGGUCUAAUCUCAUUAUAAUCUAGAUUGCAACAUUUUAGGACGAAUGAGGAGUAAUUAUUUUGUGGCAAUGCUGUGUGAACAAAUCUAAGGUAUACAAGAAUGAAAAUUGUGCCUCUCUUUAGCCGUUUCCAUGCAGCAAUGCAUUUUUUAAGGAAAGUCGGCAUAUAUAUUCGAUAUAAUCUUGCAUACUCUCUCCGUACUCGUAAAGUAAGUCGUUUUGGACAGCGACACGGUCUCCAAAACACAACUUUGAUUUCUUGUUUCUAUAAAAAUAUUUAUUGAAAAGUGAUAUAUGUAUACUUUUAUGAAAGUAUUUUUCAAGACAAAUCUAUUCAUAUAAUUUUUACAUUUUCAAACUCAACAACUUGAGAGUUAUUCAUGAUUUAUAUUCCCAAGGUUUGACUUAAAUAUUGUCCUAAACGAUUUCCUUUACGAGUACGGAGGGAGUAUAUAGCUAUAAAAAUCAUCGGUCAAAUUCAUAGUAGUUGUAUAGUUACAUAAAUGAGAGCUGGAGAGAGGGCAGCAUCACCAUGAAAGAGCAUUUAUCUAGGCACAUGGAUGGUGUACUUAGCCUAUGUUCUUCCCACAUGCAUCUGAUCCUGUGAGAAUGGAUGUGCUGCGAACCAAAAAAGAAGUUAAUAAUAGAUUAAAUUCAGACUUUGCUUCAAUAGAAGUUACAACCACUUAUUAUAAAAUUUAAAAUUUAGUUCCAAAACUAAGGAUAAUAGUAUCUUUGUUAAAGAGACGACGCAUAAAAAAGGCGCCAACAAUGAGGAAGAGAUACAAUUUAUUCAAAUUGCAGUCUUAUAAGUAAUCUAUAUCUAAAAUUGAUGAAAAUUUGUAUAACCUACCGGUAUGCAACAUGAAUAAUGGAACCCUUGUUCAGCUGCCGGCAUAUGCAACUGGUGCAGGAAGACAGUAAGCGCGUAUACUCAUUAUGGAGUUCAUAGCUCAAGCAGCCAUAUAAGUUCCCACUUGAUGCAGCAUGGGUGCCUGAGAAAAUGCACAGUAGCUAGUACAUGAAUGUAGGACAUAUAUGCUGUGUUACUCAAGGAAAAAAAGACCAAGCACAUCCAGACCAUGAUGACAAUAAUAAUGCCUUGCCAAAUGACCCCAUCUAUGAGAGGACACUAUUAAGUUAUGUACUACUAACAUUAGACGCGUUAUCUUAGGUUGCUUUUUAAACGGAUUUUGGGCUAGGCUACUUGUUCAUCGUGAUUCGUGAACAUGUUUUCUAAAUUGUUAAACAUGUGUUUCACGCAAAAACAACUUUUUAUAUAAAAAUUUCUUAAAAAAAUCAAAUAAAAAUAUAGUAUUUUUAAGUUUAUAAUAAUUAAUACUCAAUUAAUCAUGCGCUGUUGACUUGUCUCGCCCCACCAAAAAUCUAAGCCAAGGAGCUGAUUCGAUCUAAAGCCUUGCAAAAGAGGAAAUGACCUUUCUCAGUUGGAAAAAGAACAUUUAGAUCAAACCAUGAUUAUGCACACAUACUUAAUACCAGUCUUAAGAUAUAUCCACUGGUGGAGAAACCAUCUUUGGUCGGUCGACCAGAUUUUACAUUAAAAACCGGGAUUAAAAAUAUCUUUAGUCCCGGUUUAAAAGCUACAGGGUACUUUUCAAUCUUUAGUACCGGUUGGUGUUACCAACCGAGACUAAAGAUUUAUUUAUAGUCCCGGUUAAUAACACCAACCGGAAAAAAAGAUCGCCAUACACUUUACUCCCGGUUGGUAACAUUUAUAGUCCCGUUGGUAAAACCGACCGGAAAAAAAGAUCGACGCGGAGAUCGGAGAGGUGGCGCGAUCGGAUCGAGGUAUCUCCUCUCCUUUAACUCCUCUCUCCUCCUCUACUCAACCUUAUCUCCUCUCAUUUUUAACUCCUCUCCUCAACCUUAUCUAUUCUUCUUGUCUCUAUUCCUCUCCUUCUCCUCUCUACUGCCAGGCAGACGCGAGGGCGGCGGGGCGCGGAGGGCCGGCCAGCGUGGCGGCGGCUAGCGGCCGCACGGCGGCAGGGCUCGGUGGGCCGGCCGGCCAGCCGGCGCGACGGCGACGCGCGGCGAGGCAGCGGCUUUCUUUUUUUGUAUUAUUUUUUUUGAGAAUCUGGGAUUGUUGUGUGAUGUAUUUGAUUGGAUCUGAGAUUGUUGUGUGAUGUAUUUGAUUUGUGUGUGAUGUGAAUAUGUGAUGAAUUUUGUAGAAGUUGUGAUGUAAUUUUUUUAAAGAUUUUGUGAUGUAUUUGAGUAUUUGAGAUGAUCGAUUUGUGGAUUUGGAGGCAAUUUGAGGACGAUUGAUUUGGGAUUUUGGGGACGGGAUGGGGUGAAAUCAAUAUAUUUAAAAAAUAAUGAAGAAAAGAAAAGAAUAAAGAGGAACCGGAAAGAGCAACCGAAUUAGCCUCUUUAGCCCGGUUGGUAACACCAACUGGGACUAAAGAUGCUUUAUCUGUUACCAACCAGGACUAAAAAUGAAUUUUUACUCCCGGUUUUUUCGUAGUCCCGGUUAUAGGGGGUUACGAACCGGGAGUAAUAACCAUUUCUCCACCAGUGAUCCUCCAUAUCUGAGACCAAAAUUUAAAAGUGUACAAGGGGAUAACAGUCAAUUAAACUAUUUUAUAACAAUAAACAGUUUCACUUCCUACCUUAUUUAGCCUAUAAAUAAUUAAGUACUAGUACAAGAUAAUGCUCCGAAAUCGCACUGCUGGAAACUGUCUCUACCGUAAAGUUAGGUUAGAAAACUAAAUGCGCCAGCCACUUAACAGAUUCAUCAGAUUAUCCAUGAAUACAUUGAAGGUCACAUCUCAAGCUUACAUGUUACAAUAUUGAAUACCUCCAUGUGCUGUUCCAGGGACACCGAGUAUGGCGAAUCUGUCAGGUGUUGGGUAGUGGAGGAAGAACUUGAAUAGUGUUAGUUGGUUGGCAGCUUACAGGAUGACAGUUUAAGUGCAGUUAAGCCCCAAUGGCAAGAUAAACCGGCCGGUAUAUUACAUAAACUUGGAUCAUAAUAUUUGGGAUCACAAGCAUCCAUUCAAUGAAGGUAAAAAACUAUACGCGCUCUCUAGACUCUAGUGCUCUUAAAGAAGAAAAGGCACACAGAAGGACGAGGGGAGCUUUGGUUGGGAGGUACAGAGAAGGUUAGAAUGACAAGUAAUUUAAAACAGAUAGAGUACCUAUUUUCUGCUAAUUCUAAAAAUUGCAUGAGCUUAUAUAUGAAAAAGUUUAUAAUUUGUAUAGUUACUUGCAAUUCUCAUCAAAUACAGUUAUCUAAGAGUAUAUAAAUUAUUUCUGUUGUAAAGGAAGUAAAAGGUAAUAAUCAUAUACGUACACGAGAUCGAGCGCAUCAACAGGCUUUCUAGUACAAUCAAGGGACGAAUGGACCAAAAGACUUGAGAUGGAUUUCCUAUUUCUUAUUUUUACUUUUUUUAUCUGUCAUUUAAAACAACAACCGGUAAUUACUCCCUCGGUCCCUCAACAUUUGACGUUGUUGACUUUUUAAAAUUUGUUUGACCAUUCAUCUUAUUUAAAAAUUUUGUGAAAUAUAUAAAACUAUAUGUAUACAUAAAAGUAUAUUUAACAAUGAAUCAAAUGAUAUGAAAAGAAUUAAUAAUUACUUAAAUUUUUUGAAUAAGACGAACGGUCAAACAUAUUUAAAAAAGUUAACGACGUCAAAUGGAACGGAACGGAGGGAGUACAUUUUUCCAAUUAUAUAUAAGUGAAAUAUUGACAACUAAUGGUACCGAAGUGCUUGUUUUUGACAAAUAAAUUACAAUAUCAAUUCGGGAUGCCAACUCCAAAUACCAUUAAUUAUUUCAAUUACACUCCUAUUUUUAGCACCGUUGUCUUUUGAUCCACGUUUGAACUAUAUAUUCACAUAAUACAAGGUCAUAUUACAGUUUAUUGGAUGAUAUUUUUGCAUCACUGCAAAAGUACUCUCAGCCAGAGGACCCUACAGCUUUUAUAUGAGCAUGAUAUAUUGUCCAUCCUUAACUGACAAUGGCAAGAUGGAAAAUCCUAUGCAUGUUAAGGCACAAUUUGACAAGGCAUUUCCUAUAUAAAGGUAGCCAAGUUUCACUAUGAACAACACAACCAUAAUACCAUACAAAGCCAAGCCUCCAAAAACUGCCUCAGAGCUGAAAAAAAGAAGAGAUACAUAGAAGAUGGCUCUUGUUAUUGCUGAUGAAAUCAAGGCCAAGGCGGAGGUCUACUAUGAUGAUGAGAUCUGUCAACAAUGCACAAGGCUCUUGCUCAAGGAAGCAGGCCUCCCAAAUGGCCUUCUUCCCUUGAAGGACAUAAUGGAGUGUGGCUAUGUUGAGGAAACUGGAUUUGUGUGGCUCAAGCAAAAGAAGAGGAUAGACCAUGUCUUCCAAAGCUUAGGAAGGUUGGUAUCUUAUGGCACUGAGAUCACUGCUUUUGCAGAGAAGGGGAGGAUCAAGAAAGUCAAAGGGAUCAAGACUAGGGAGCUCAUGGUGUGGGUACCAGUAGAGGAGAUUGCCCUUGAUGAACAAAAGACUGGGAAACUCAUCUGCAAGAGCAUUGCUGGGAUUACGAAAACCUUCCCUGCAUCAGCUUUCCAGAUACCAGAGAAGGAGGAGAAGAUUACCUGUGCCAUACCAAAACCAGUGGUACUAAUGGAGAGAGCUCAUCAAGUUAUCAAGAACAAUUGAUCAUUCUGCCAUCCCUUGGUCCACAGAUCAUUACCAGCUCUGCAAUCCUAUAAUACUGAAAUAAUGAACACUGAUGAUCUACUAUUUGCUUAUGUACUUCAAAAGGCGAUAACACAAAAGUCUUUCCUAAAUAUAUACUGCUUACGUAUGAUUGCAAUGGCAUCAAUAGCCCUGUAAGGCAACUAAACAACUUCCUGUUCUGUACUAAAUAGCUCAUGUAACGCAAUAUGCGCCAUAAUAUAAAAAAUCAUAUGAUUAUAUGCUCCCUUGUUUCUCCUGUGAGAUACUUUCUUUUCCCCCUGUUUUUGUUUCACUGAAAAUAAAUGACACCACAUGAGAAUAAAUUUGCAUGACAAUUGUACUAAAGAUGUAUGGUCUUUUGAUAUUCGCCCUAGUUAAGAUCCCUAGUCAAAAGACCGACAUCAUGACAACAGUUUCUUUGAAUGAAGAACAGUAGGGAGGCCCCUAUGGUUAAUUAUAUAUAUUAGAAAAACUGUACAGGAGAGGUGUGGUUAGUGAUUACGGGGUUGUGGAUAAAAAAUACCACAUUCCAGAUUAUGAAUAUAGGGCUGUGUGCAUAUAAAGUUUAGUUCUUUUUAGAUUGUAAUGCAGCAUGAAUAAAGAAGUUAGUGGCUAGUUCCACUAAAGAAUACAUGCCACAUCCUAGUAAAUAAAAUGCAUGCCAUGCCCAUAAAAAAAGGUUUGGAAGGCCAGUUAACAAACCAGUAAUUUUUCCAAUAAAAUCUGGCUGUGUGAAAUUUGGAAAUGUGAAACGUGCAUGAUUCCAUGAGGUCAUGCAGGAGGAUACAUCUGCAAUGAUCCCUCCAAAUGCAUCUGAUGGCUUAGGCAGCUAGGCUUUGCAUGUCAAAAAUGUAGUACCACUGUUUAAUAUGAAAACUCACGUACACAAGUUAUGGGAUAACAAAACCCUUGAAUUCCUCUGCUGCAAUUUGCAAAUCUUAUUCAUUUCCUUCUACUACUUAUGCCUCAGCUCCAUGAAUUAAGACUGAAUCUUACACUAUAAAUGAAAAGAAUUUAUUCAUUUCCUAUAUACAGUGGGUGAAAAGUGUUUUUUUUUACAAUAGAAAAGUAAAAAAAUCUAUAUGAGGAAACAAUAGGAACCAUUAACUCACUACUUGAACGUGUCUACACGCACAGAUCUGGAUGUAGCCUGGAGGGUCAGAGAUCUAAAUAAGGUAGGCAGGUGCCCAUCUGUUCACCCAAACACUUCCCAGGAAGCAUCUUCAAUUAAGAAGUGCAGGACAUAGCUAUGAGCCAGCAAAAGUAGAUCCACAAAAGAUAUUUUGGCUUAGAAGAUAUUUAGAAUACAAUCUACAUGACAUUAGAUCAAACACAUCUUAAACCAAAAAAAGGAGAUGAGAAUAAAAUAAGUGUAUGGAAUCUAAAUGUGUACUAUUAUACAAAUAGUAAACCCAUGUAGUAAUUACCUGAAGAAGUUGAACUUUCCAUUUCCAAGACUCUUUUUAUUUACUUCAUCAAGAAAAAAGUAAUAACCUACAAAAGAUUCCAAACUAGAUGUUCUAAAUAGGUAACAUGCACAAAGAAUCGAAAAGCAAAAUGCAUUGUUGCUCUUGACUCACCAAAACAUGGAUGUGUUUUUGGUUGCAACAUAAGAAACUGAACUUAAAGUAGCAACUAUAGUAGCAGGGCAUCAGUUAAUAGAAUAAGAAAUAACAUCAUCUUCUAUGUAGUGAAUCUUCUUUUGGCGUGAAAAUGGUGCAAAAAUGCAUCUUAUAAAGCAACUCAAAGGAUCCUGCAAGCCUUCCAUUUUAUAGUGACCAAAUCUCCAAUCCCGCAAUAUGAAGGGCCUCUGAAUAGGCCGAUCUAGACCACCUGUAAGACAAAAGGAGACACCAAUGCUUAGACAAGCAGGAAAACAUGGAUCUUAUUGAACUUAUAUUUUUGUAUAUAGUUUUCUAAGGCCUUGUGGUAGUUCAAAAAAUACCUUAACUCAGAAGAGAUGGGCAUUAAAUCAGAAAUUAUUAAUAAAAAGAAGCAAAACGAGAAGCAACACUAAUCUUAAUUCUAAGGAGCUCCAUUGAUGGUAGUAUCUAUUGACAUAAGAAGUCAAUGUCUGUUGCUAAUCCUAAUCAAGUUGUUUUUAGUAAAACAAGCCACUACUUAUUGAUCCUGCCAAUUUACCUGCUGAUCAGAUCAUCAGAAUCAUUCAAAAAGAAACAAUACAUACCUGCAUACAUCCGACCAUGCUUAUCCACUGCCCUGAAAAAUGGACGUGUUUUCUUUUGAACUGCAGCUUGUUGCAGCUCCCUCCAAGCAGACAUUCUGUCCUGUCUUGUAAUUUUUCCAGUUGUAACAACCUGGAGUUCAGAUGCAUCUUAUCAUGCUAGUUAUAUAGCCACCACAUGCAUGAACGUAAAAAGUGGCAAAAAAAAUGCUGGAGGUAAUCUCAGGUCUAGACACGUUUAGUGCUUUAUCUAGCCAUAAAAUUACUCUGAUAAAAGAAAAUGAAUGAACUUUAAACUUCAGAAACAAGGAGUAGAUCUAGUUAGUUUUCAAUAUUUCAACAGAAGACAAAAAUUCACCUAGGAGUUAGACAACGUAAGAGACUGAGAUAAUAGGUAAACAAUGUACCAUGGUUUCAUGAUUUGCUAAAACGAAAAAGUUACCCUGGAGAAUAAAAAGUAUGAAGGCCGAGGUUUCCGUGCUAGGUUAUUAGCACGGUCAACAGCAACAAGCCCAAACUUGGGACCAUAGCCAUCCGCCCAUUCCCAAUUAUCUGAUGUUGUCCAAAACAAAUAACCAAGUACACGGACACCCUAUAAAACAUUAUGUUGUUUAAGUGUUGGAAGUUCCAUCUCCAUGAGCACAGACUAAAACAUGUUUGCUUAAAGGUUAAGAAAGGACCAUAAUGAUGGCAGCGUAUGUGGCUAACAAGUGUUCCAGUAUAUAUGGUUUCCGUAUCAGAUCAGUCUCAUCAGAAACUCCAUUUUCAGUAAUGACAAAAGGUAUAUUUAAUCUCUUAUAUCGUUCAUUGAAUUGAAUCAGGAUGCGGAACAGCCCAUCAGGAUAAACCCCACGACCAGAUUCACUAUACUCAUCAUUAUCCACAAGCUUUAGACCAGGUCCUGAUAUAACCUCCUGCAUGGAAAUGGGAGAAUUAACUCGGUCACUUACAUAGCCAUUCAUUAAGCAGCAAAUAAUUUGCUUACCUGUCCAUAGUAGUUGAUUCCAAUGAAGUCCAAUUUAUCACAUAUGCUAUCCACGUAAGGAAAAAGGGUCAAUGAGUUAGCUAGCGCGACAGCAGCAACAUCAAAUAGCCCAUAUGGCCUUGUAAACGAUACAUGGUGUGCAACACCAACUAUUGGCUUCCUUUCGUUCUUGCUGUUAAUCAAGAAAUAAAUAAUAAGAAAACCAGAGGAAACCAACUCCUUGAUUAUCGAAUAAAAAAUACCAGGUAAUCACUGGAAUAAGGGCACUGCAAAUAAUACAUUAUGUAGAACCAACCUUUUCGAAUGUAUGUAGUCAUAGGCUUCAGAAUGUGCAAUAGCCAUCCAAUGCAAAGCCUGAUUGUAUACACCAGUUGGCAGAGUAGAUGUUGCUACUUCAAUUGCAUUAGGGUCUCCACCAGGCCAAGCACCGGCACAAUAAGUUAGCAUCACAAAAACGUGAGGUUCAUUGAAAAUCACCCAGUAGUCCACUAAAUUGGAUACACGAUCAACAACAAGCCUGCACAGCCCCAACUAUCAAAAUCUAAUAAAUUAUUGAACAAUUCCCAAUGGAGAGAAUGUAUUGGCAGGUCAAUUUGACUGCCCUCAAAAGGUACCUCACAAAAUCCAUGAAAUAGGUGACAGUUUUUUCCAUCUUCCACCCGCCAUAUUUUCCAGCCCAAGGUGGAAGUGAGUGAUGAAACAGAGUAAGCAUUACUUUCAUUCCAUAUUCGCGAACCCUUUGAAUGAUCCAUCUAUACCGCUCAAGUGCUGCAAAAUUAACCUAGAGAAAGAGAUGUCUAUCUUAUUUCACCGGUACUGAGAUCAUCAUGCUGGAAAAAGAAGGAUGAAUAUAAAGGUAAAAAGAGGCACGUGCAUAACUAUGAACUUACUGAGCUCUUCAAUUCUUCGGUUGGUUCCUCAGGCAUUAACCUUGCCCAAUCUACCCCCAUGCGGAAAACGCUGAUGCCGGUCUCCUUAGCAAGUUUCAACUCAGCAUCAGGAUCAGACCAAAAUCUAAGCCUUUCUUGCCUGAAAAAAAAAUGAUCAGAGUUUGCUAACAUACAACAUCCAAAGACAUCUACAUUUGGAAGGAAAGCUAGAAUCUUGAAUUACUUUUUUUAAAAGCAUGCAUUCGUUUUUUAUCCUUGGGACCCACCACUACAUAGUAGCACUAUCGAAGUCAUAUCUAGACUUGGAAAGAAGCUACAAUAUUGAAAGACAACAACUCUUCCUGGAGAGAUAGUUAAGAUGAGAAGUGACUCUAGGUGACUUUACAGGCAAGGAGAUUUGUUCUUUGGAGUACAGAACUGAGAUAAAUUAGCUCAUUAGAGAUUCUAUACUCAUGUACUUACGGGCAUGGAACAUUAUGCCAAGCAGCAACAUUGUGGCUGCAGUUAUCGCCGCCAGCAGAUUCUCCACUCUCAGCAAGAAUUUCAAACCCCCUGAGCAUAGCCUCCAUGGCUACCCUAAGUGGUUUCCUCUGCUCUCUAUCACCAAUAUUUUCCCCACCUGUUGACCUCCAAGAUUGCUGGGAGCCUCCAUCACCAGCAGCAGAUGCCAUCAGUGCAUCUACUGGCCUCUGGUCGCGCACGUUUCCAUUGUCAUCGCAGGAAGUUUCAGUUGCAAACUGGAGCCAAGCAUCUUCUAGCCUGUCCUCAACAUGCGCAGGCGCUGUUGCUAGCCCAAAGAAGAAAUUAUCCUCCUCUGCAAACAAAUAUGCCACACCAUCAGGGCUUCCAUAUUGCCUUGACAAUUGUUGCUUCCAGCCAGUGAUGGCCUUAAAUGUUAAAACACAGUUUGAAUGCUCGAAUUUAUAGAGAAAAUUAAUGAGAGAGAGGUGCAAAGCAUAACUGUGCCUAUAGUGAGUAAUCUUAUCCCCAUGUAUGAUGUAACAGGACAUUUGCAAUGGGCAAACAAAGUUCUUUUCAGUACUCUCGUAUUGACAUUGACUAAUUGAUCAAAAAACUAAUUGAAUAUAAGGAUUAAUUGAUUAAAUUCAAAUCGAUUAUGCCAACAAUUCCCCAUCUCAAAAAUUGAUAAAACCUAAAACCUCCCAACUGGGCAUCCACAAAGACUAAUCAAAUACAUAAUCUCCCAACCCCAAUGCAAUAAUCCAUUGACCUCAACGAUUAGCGCUUACAUGGCUAGGGCUUUACAGAGGGAAACGAAAGUGAGUGAGACGAACCUGAGUCGUCAGCGUCGGAGGAGGGAAAGGCGCGGAAGUCGGCGAGGGGAUCGGCGGACUCGUCGAUGGGGCUGGGGAUGCGGCGGAGGUGGCGCCGCCGGUACCGCGCGUAGGAGGCGGCAUUGGCCGCCGUCGCCGCCGCGGCCACGAGGACGGCGAGCCUCGCCGCCGCCGCCACGAACGCCGGUAGUGGCAUUUCCGUGAUUUUCUUCUUCCUUCGCCCCGCUUAUUUACCGCCGAAUUUUAUUUUUUUUUUCUUCGUCGAAUUUUGUUUUUAUUAUUUUUUUGGGAAAUAAAUAGGAGUGGCGGGAACCGGAUGAGGAGGCGGGAGUAGUCCGGUCGUUGGUGGGGCCCACCUCGACACGUGGCGGGGUUUGGUGGCUCGUGGCAGAUUUUGCGGGGGCCACAGCUGCGAGUGUACUAGAGGAUUGCCACUUGGCUCUCGCUAUGCAUGGCUCACUUUUUUUUUGUGUGGUUUUCUUAAUUUUAUCGUGAAUUUUGUGUGUUUGGCUUUAAUUGUCACUGCAAAAUCCAUACUCUACUCCUAUAAAUGUGUAGCAAGAGAAGCACCGAUUGCUUAAAUAUAAGCCAUUGUUAAAAUUGGAACUUUUAUUUUAGUUUUUCAAUUGAUUUUUUGGGGUUCGUAUUGGCAUUAAAUCGCUCAGGAUUAUAUAUAUAUAAGCCAUAAGUUAUUUUUUAAAGUUGUUGAUUAUCAGUUUUAAUUAGGCCAACUGAUGCUGAACACAGACGAAAUGGAUAACAAUUUGGAGAGAUGUAUAGCAUGUGUCGUCCCUGAUCCACCCAUUUCUCAUCCUUAAUUUGAGUCACUGUUCUAUGUACAGUUCUAGAACACGCUGUUUAUCCAUUUGUCGUUCUCUAAAAACCAAAUUAUACACUGUACAGCAAGGAACUUAUCAGAACCACACGAAGAAUUAAACUCGAUUUUAUGCAGACCCUGGAUAAUUCACAAUUACCACACUCUUGUACGAACUGCUAGCUUUACUAGGCUUUGUUCUUUGCCCCAGGUUCCCAACUCCCCCUCUCGUUUUUCGCGCACACGUCUUUCAAACUGCUAAAUAGUAUAUUUUUUUUAUAAAAAGUUUCAAUACGAAAGUUGCUUAAAAAAAUCAUAUUGAUCUAUUUUUGAAAAAAAAAGCUAAUACUUAAUUAAAUACACGCUAAUGGAUCGCUAUCUUUUUUGUGCGUGGGACAUGGGUUCCCAACCCAGGGUGCCGAACAUAGCCUAAUACUAUGUGUAUGUAUUGGUUAUCUCUCGUUUUCGUCAGAAUUAGAUGCCGUCGUGUCGAUCGUUAAAGUAAAUUGCCACGCAUACAGAGCACAAGUCUUCUUCAAAAACUUCUGUAAAAAUUCACCAUUUUGAAGGUGCGUACACUGAUAGAAGACCAAAAAUGAAUUGGGAAAAAAAUACAAAUGUUACACAUCUAUGUGGCCGGCCGACCAAUCCGGCCCAAUUAACACAACACAAAGAACAAACGGGCCUCCAAAACAGAAUUGAUUGGGCCCAAUUAAAUUGGUAAUAGUUACUCCGAAAUAUUUGAAUCACUUUGGUGGCGGGAGGAUCCUUCAAUUGCCGUAGAUGAAGUUGUGACUCACCGCGCCGCCGCUGCACUUAUCUACUCGCCUUUGCCGGUGUGCUUGAAGCACUUGGCGUCGCCGGUGGACCCGAGUAACUCUUCGUGGCAGGUGGGUUUGAACUACUCGCCGUCGCCGGUGCAGUUGAAUUACUUGCCGUCACCGGUGCAGUUGAGUUGCUGGGUGUCGCCGGUGCAGUUGAGUUACUUUCCGUUGCCGUCGCCGGUGCAGUUGAGUUCCUGGGUAUCGCCGAUGCGGUUGAUUUACUCGCCGUCGAGGUAGAUGCCGCUGAUUUCCCGCUAUUCGAUGUUACCCCAAAAUCGAAAUACCAAAGAAAGUUAAUGUAAAAAUAGUACUCCCUAUGUUUCACGUUAUAGGGUUUAUUUUACUUUGUUAGAACAAGAUUUUAACCAACCACUACUCUGUUUUCUAUAGACCAUUACUCUUUUAUAAUAUAACUUUUGUGAAGCAUAAGAAAUAUUAUUUAGAUUCGUCUUCAAAAGUAUUAUACUUUUGCGGCACAAAUAUAAUAUAUUGGAGAAGCAAUCAUUGGUUAAACCCUUAUCUCCUAACAACACAAAAUACGCCCUAUGUUUUGAAAUGGAGAGAGGAGUAAUUACUCUGGUGGCGGGAGGAUCCAUGAGUCGCCAUAGAUGUAGUGCGUGCCGAUGAAGGGCUUGGCCUGAUCCGCGGUGAGGUCAAGCGCCCAACCCACCCUCUUCUUGGCGUCGGAGCCGGGGCCGGUGCACUUGAACUCGCCGUAGUAGAUCCCGCUGCUCUCCGGCUUGGCGAUGUUCCAGCCAUCCCACCCUAUCGGCACCACCUCCUUGGACAUGUCCGUGUAGGAGUACACCACCCGCGACGAAUCCCCCCAUGCCCGGCCGAGGUAGAUCUGCCCUUGUCCUUUGAUGCUGCAGUUCUUGAAGGAGAAGCCACUUUCUAUGGCGCCCUCGAUGGUCUUGGUCCUCUGCUGCGCCGUCAGCACGGACACCUCCUUGGUGACGGAGACGAUGGUGCAGCCCUCGUAGAGUGAUCUCCCGAAUCCAAAGAUGAAGUCGACGCUGCCCAUGAUGAGGCUAUCCUUGAUGUAGUGGAGUCCCUUGUGAUCGUAUAGGGUGUCCUGCCCGCCGUCGAUGGUGCAGUUGUAGAUGGCUGCCUUGGUGCCGAACAGGCGGAGCGCCACCGCCUGGCCACCCUCGGCACCCGGCUUGGCCAGCGGCGCGUCGUUCUUGAAGACGACGCCGUAGGCCAUGAAGUAGUCGGACUCGACGGCGACGGUGGUGCUCCCGACGGUGCCGACGGGCUUGCCGUCCUUGCCCCUGGUGGCAGCCAUGUCGUUCCAGGCGAUCACCGCCGGGUUGGCAGGGUCGGACUUGAAGGUGAUGUAGGGCUUAGUGAUGUUGAGGAGGAGCUUCUCCCGGAACUCGGCGCCGGGCUUGAGGUCGAGGAUGACGCGCUUGGUGUUCCCCUCGGGGACCUUCUCGAGCGCCGCCGCGAUGGUGGUGAAGGUGGUGUCGCCCGGCGUCCCCUUGGGGUCAACCACCCACGUCACCUUGGCCUCCUCCGCCGCCGAGAGGCUCGCGUCGAUGGUCUUCCCGCCGAUGUCGCCGGCGGCCUUCAUGGCGUACAGCGACUUCUUCUCGACGUACUCCUCGUGGUUCAUCAGCACCCACUUGCCAAACCCUCCGCCGGAGGAGCGGUGGCUGGGGCCGGCGGGGAGGAAUAGGUCGAAGAACUGCCAUGACGGCGCCGGCAGCGUCGCCGCCACCACCGCCAGUAGCCCCACCACGGCCACGGCGAGGUUGGGACGAUCCAUCGUUUAUUAGUUGCUGCAGUAUGCAGCUAAUUCGUUCUGUCCCUGCCCAUCAUGGCGCGAUGCGUAUAUAGGGUGAUCGAUCUUGGCGGAUUAAUUUGGAACUUCCAUGGAUGGAAGGGACAUGGCUGGCCAUCCAUUUUUGGGGAAAAUGUUCGUGCUUGGAUGGCCGGAUAGGUAGCAAGCACUUCUUGCUAAUUUGGUGACCGGCGAUCUCUCGACCUUAAUUUGCUUCGAUGAUAUCUUGGCUCGAUUUUAAGGCCUUUUGUGCAGGAUUUAGAGGUUGCAUUUUGGGUCGCAGUUCAUUUGAUGCGCCCAAUUUUGGUCGCUGGUACUCUAUAUUCCCUAAUGUAAGAUGUUUAACCAAGUUAAUUUAAUAAAAAACAUAGCAAUAUUUGUAAAAAAGAAAACCUAUUAUAAAAAUACAUUUCAUGGUAGCUAGAUUUAAUAAAAUUAAUUUGGCGUUCUAUAUGUUACUACUCGAUCCGUUUCCCAUUUCAAUCUACUUUGUUGCUGUAACAAAUCUCACAUGCACUAAAAUAGAAUAUGCGGCAAAUUAUAUUGCUACACUAAUUAUUACAUCCUAAUAACUUUUCUUAAAGCAAACAUUAUAUUUUUCUGGUGAGAAUAAUAUUACUGCAUUGAUAAAAGGUAGACAAAGAAAACAUCUCAUUGAAGUAAUUUCGAACAUGCCAACGAGAAAUGAAUAUGGAAUACAUUAUUUUAUAAACCUGAUCAAACUUGAAUAAAUUUGAUUUCUGACAAAACCAAAACAUCUUAAAUUCUGAAAUAUGGAGCAAGUAAGAGUGUAUUUGUGGGGCUAAAAUUAGCUAUUAUGAUCCAGCCUUUUCUGGAACGUGUCAAAAUGCAUAAAUAUCAUACACAGAAAGUACUAUAUAUUAUGAACAUAAAAUCCUCAGAAAAAAAAACUAUGUACUUGUAGUGUACUACUGAUCACUAAAUUAUACUAUCGUACAUUGGAGUAUAUACACACAAUUAAUACAGUAACUGAAUGAAAGGAAAACAAUCUAACUACUUUAAAAGCCUUUGGUGGGGAAUAUGCCACCCACUAUUGCUCUUGCAGUUUUUAUAAUUUGUCUUCUUUUUAUUUUCGAAUAUUAUGGAAUUAAUAGUCCAACAUUUUAUUUAAACAAGUGGUAACAGAUCUUAAAAUAAGCAAACAAUUAAGUACAUAUUUGAUAAAAAAUAUUUUGUUAUGAUAUAUUAUAAUAUUUUUUUUCUUUUGCCCAUUGCAAACUGGAACCGAGCUUCUUCUAGCAUGUUCUCAACUUAUGCGCAGGCGCUGUUGCUAGCCUAGGCCCUGUUUGGAUAGAACUAAAACUUUUUAAUCCUUAUCACAUUGGAUGUUUGGACACUAAUUAUAAAUAUUAAACGUAGAUUAUUGAUAAAACCCAUUCUAUAACCCUGGACUAAUUCGCGAGACGAAUCUAUUGAGACUAAUUAAUCCAUGAUUAGCCUACGUGAUGCUACAGUAAACAUACGCUAAUUAUGGAUUAAUUAGGCUUAAAAAAAUUUAUCACGUGAAUUAGCUCUUAUUUAUGUAAUUAGUUUUAUAAGUAGUCUUUGUUUAAUAUUCCAAAUUCAUCCGAUAUGACAGGGAUUAAAGUUUAGCCCCUGGAUCGUCCAAACACCCCCCCAAAUAAGAAAUUAUCGUCUUCUGCAAACAAAUGUACGUACCACACCAUCAAGGCUUCAAUGUUGCUUCUAGCAAAUGUGCUUAAAAGUUUAAAUCACAGUUUGAAUGCUGAAAUCUAGAGAAACUUAAUGAGACAGAGGUGCAAAGAAUAACUGUGUGCCUACCUAGUGAGCAAUCUUAUCCCCACGUACACGAUAUUGCAAUAGGCAAACACGUUCUUUUCGGUACUUGUAUUGACAUUGAACUCGGGUGGAUUGGUUCCAUCACAAGAAAUCUAACCAGUUAAUAAGCUCCUUACCUUUGCACGACUUAUUAGCCAUGGAACAAGUGGGAUGUACUUGUUACCCCCGUUUUAAUCACGGUAAGAUGCCUAUUCUGUUGAUCGUUUUCGUUCCCGAAAGUUAAUUGCAACAUAAGUAUAGAGCACAAGUCUUCAAGAGUCAUUUUCAAAAGGAAAACAUGUGUAAAAUUCACUAUAGUUUUGAAGAUGCGUACACUGAUAAAAGACCCAAACGAAAUGGGAAGAAAAUACAACUGUUACACGUACGUGAAACAUCUAAGUAGCCGGCCGAUUGAUUAAUCCGGCCCAAAUUGACACAAAGAAUGAACAAUUAAACGGGCUUCCAAAACAGAAUUGGUUGGCCCCAAUGAACGCGAUUCAUCGCGUCGGCGCCGUCGUCGCCGCUGCACUUGUAUUAACUACUUGCCUUUUGCCGGUGGACUUGAACUCGAGUAAUUAGUCGCCUUCGCUGACGCAGUGGAAUUACUCGUCGUCGCUGACGCAGUUGAGUAGCUAGUCGCCGUCGGCGCUUCUGCAGUUGAAUUGCUUUCCUUUUUAUUAGCCGAUGCAGUUGAGUUACUACUCGCCGUCGGUGCUUCCGCGGUUGAGUUGCUCGACGUUGAAGCUGAGCUAGAUGACGUUGAUGUCCCGCUAUUUGAUGUUACACCAACAAUUAGAAUAUAUUAAUUUGUACUAGCAUAAUUAAUUGAUUACACCUUCCAUUUCAUAUAAAAUGUAACUUUGUUUUGAUUUUUUUUGUCAAACUUAUUUAUAUUUGAUCAAUUUUUUUUCAAAAAAUUUAGCAGCAUUUUUAAAAAAUAGUUUAACUAAAUGUAAAGUUGAAUAUAUUUUUAUAAUAUGUUUGUUCUUUUCUUAAAAAAUUGUGUUGAUAUGUUUUCCAAUAAAAUUUGGUUAAACUUGAAAAAAAUGCAAAAGAAAUCAAAGCGAUUCAUAAUAUGAAAAAGAGAGAGUGUUAAUUAAUUAAUCGAUGUAAAAACAAAAGUAGUAAUUAAUUACUCUGGUGGGAUGAGCCAGGAGUCGCCGUAGAUGUAGUGCGUGCCGAUGAAGGGCUUGGCCUGCUCCUCGGUGAGGUCGAGCGCCCAACCCACCCUCUUCUUGGCGUCGGAGCCGGGGCCGGUGCACUUGAACUCGCCGUAGUAGAUCCCGCUGCUCUCCGGCUUGGCGAUGUUCCAGCCGUCCCAACCCACGGGCACCACCUCCUUGGACAUGUCGGUGUAGGCGUACACCACCCGCGACGAUUCCCCCCAUGCUCGCCCCAGGUAGAUCUGCCCUUCUCCCUUGAUGCUGCAGUUCUUGAAGGAGAAGCCGCUCUCGAGGGCGCCCUCGAUGGUCUUGCUCCUCUGCUGCGCCGUCAGCACGGACACCUCCUUGGUGACGGAGACGAUGGUGCAGCCCUCGUAGUACGAUCUCCCGAACCCGAAGAUGAAGUCGACGCUGCCCAUGAUGAGGCAAUCCUUGAUGUAGUGGAGGCCCUUGUGGUCGUACAGCGUGUCCUGGCCGCCGUCGAUGGUGCAGUUGUAGAUGGCCGCCUUGGUGCCGAAGAGGCGGAGCGCCACCGCCUGGCCGCCCUCGGCGCCGGGCUUGGCCAUCGGCGCGUCGUUCUUGAACACGACGCCAUGCGCCACGAAGUAGUCGGACUCGAUGGCGACGGUGGUGCUCCCCACGGUGCCGACGGGCUUGCCGUCCUUGCCCCUGGUCGCCGCCGUGUCGCUCCAGGCGAUCACCGCCGGGUUCUUGGGGUCGGACUUGAAGGUGAUGAAGGGCUUGCUGAGGUUGAGGAAGAUCUUCUCCCGGAACUCGGCGCCGGGCUUGAGGUCGAGGAUGACGCGCUUCUUGUUCCCCUCGGGGACCUUCUCCAGCGCCGCCGUGAUGGUGGUGAAGGUGGUGUCGCCCGGCGUCCCCUUGGGGUCGAUCACCCACGUCACCUUGGCCUCCUCCGCCGCCGUCAGGUUCGCGUCCAGCUUCUUCCCGCCGAGCUCCUCCGCGGUGGCCAUGGUGUGCAGCGCCUUCUUCUCCACGUACUCCUCCUGGUUCAUCGCCAGCCACUUG